rnacentral:rRNA from 1 species
CGGAGGGCGCGAGCGUUGUUCGGAAUCACUGGGCGUAAAGCGCGCGCAGGCGGGACUAGCAAGUCGGGAGUGAAAUCUCGGAGCUCAACUCCGAGGCUGCUUCCGAAACUGCGGACCUGGAGACUGGUAGAGGUGGGUGGAAUUCCCGGUGUAGCGGUGGAAUGCGUAGAGAUCGGGAAGAACACCGGUGGCGAAGGCGGCCCACUGGGCCAGUUCUGACGCUGAGGCGCGAAAGCGUGGGGAGCAAACAGGAUUAGAUACCCUGGUAGUCCACGCCGUAAACGAUGGGCACUAGGUGCCGGGGGGAGCGACCCCGUCGGUGCCGUAGCUAACGCGAUAAGUGCCCCGCCUGGGGAGUACGGCCGCAAGGCUG